rnacentral:rRNA from 1 species
GACGAACGCUGGCGGCGUGCUUAACACAUGCAAGUCGAACGGAAAGGCCCCUUUGGGGGUCCUCGAGUGGCGAACGGGUGAGUAACACGUGAGUAACCUGCCCUUGACGUCGGGAAAACUUCAGGAAACUGGGGCAAAUACCCGAUAGGAAUCCGGGCUGCAUGGGGGGGGUGGGAGAGCUUCGGCGGUUUUGGAUGGACUCGCGGCUUAUAGGCUUGUUGGUGGGGUAGUGGCUUACCAAGGCUGUGACGGGUAGGCGGCCUGAGAGGGCGAACGGCCACCUUGGGUCUGAGGUGCGGCCCCGACUCCUACGGGUGGACGCUGUGGGGAAUCUUGCUCAAUGGGCGGCAGCCUGAUGCAGAAGCGCCGCGUGCGGGAUGCCGGCCUUGGGGUUGUAAAACGCUUUCAGCAGGGGCGAAGCUUGUGGUGACGGUACCUGCAGAAGAAGCACCGGCUAACUACGUG